UCAACUCCAAUCCUAAUUUGAUUAUUUCAACCUUUUAUGUAAACGCACGCAAUUAUCUCACUCGGCAUUUUGCCGAUCUUUUCAGGCGAGAUUGGAAGCCUCGACGAGAACCUCACGAAUGGCUCGUCCUCUCUGGAACUUUCAUCUUCGAAAUUGAGAGCGUAACUCAUCGGAUCGUAACUGAAAUCUGUCGAGUUGUGAUGCUUUUUUCGGCUCUUCUUGGCAGCAUUACAUAUCCUGCCAAACAAACCUCGACGCCGCCGAUCCUUAGGUUUUAGAAACUCCUUAGACUGAGAUUUCAACCACCGGUACGGUUUCCUCGGCUGGUGAUACUCUAAAGCUGCAAGCUGAUCAGGCGGUAUGCAGAAACAACAUAUCGAGGAUUUGAUCUUGUUCUUGAGCGAUUGAGAAAGACAAUCGUUACACAUUGUAAUUAUACUAAAAAUGAUAUUUAAUAAUAAUAAUGAUAAUGCGGUGGAGGAGCGAGAGGGGAGCGAGGUUUAUAAAGGAAGAUGAAAACCUGAACAGAUAAGUAUGGUACGGGAAUUUGGCUGUGAAUAAAGACAAGCUGAUGCUGGAAAGGGCGAAUCAAAACCGCGGGCGUUGCGUGGCUGGAUGCUUAUACUUAGUGUGGAAGUUCUUUUAUGUCCUUGAGGAAAGGUCGUGCUGUUUGAAAGUGAUUGAUCCUGACGCGGAAACAGCCAAUGGUGAUGCUGCCGCGUCCACUAUCUCAUUGACAUAAAUUAAUGCCUUUGCAUUUGCGUGGUAGAACGCUUGAAUCUUAUCCAUUUACACUCAGAUAAGCGAAGGUGAGAGAGUCGUCAACACUAUCGCUACAUAAACACAUGAUUGAGAUUGGAGUCACACAUAUUAAUACUGAGCAUCAGUCUGGAAACAUGAGUGUAUGAUGGGUUUAAAUUUAUAAUAUAUUAUUCAAAUUCGAGCUCAUAUAAACAUUGUUGAUCGGAGGAUCGUUAAAAAGAUAGACAAUAACACUAAAACAGUAUUUAUGAACUGGCUAUGCCAAAUCAAAUGAAGUUGAAUGCGGAAUCGAUCAUUCCAUUUAUUCAGUUGGACACGUGCAUAGCCGAGCCCAAUUGAAAAUAUUCUAGGAAAAUUAGAAGAGACGGAAAAGGAUUGAACAAGUCAGAAAAUGGGGUGUGGAAAUUUGUUCUACAUCCUACUCGUUACAUUCUCUGUCGCUCUAAUUACAUACAACAUAAUAAUCUCACCUAAUGCUCCUUUGAAGCAAGAGCUCCCUGGUCCAUUAAAAUCGUCAUCAAUAUCACUGGACCCUGUCAUCAAGAUGCCGCUGGACAGAUCACGAAACUAUGGUAAGAAGAGAUUGUUUCACACAGCGGUUACAGCAUCCGAUUCUGCGUACAACACGUGGCAGUGCAGAAUCAUGUACUACUACUGGUUCAAAAAGUUCAGGGACGGUCCCAAUUCUGAGAUGGGUGGCUUCACCAGGAUCUUGCACUCUGGUAAAGCUGAUAAGUUCAUGGAUGAGAUCCCUACUUUUGUCGCCCAACCUUUGCCACCUGGAACGGAUCAGUAGGAUUCUCUUAAUAAGAUUGCUCCUACUUGGAUGAAUGUGUCCUUGGCAAUGAAGAAGGAUCCUGAAACAGAUAAGGCUUUUGGUUGGGUGCUUGAAAUGUGAGAUUUUGCUUUUUAAAUCUUGACCUCAGAAUUUAGAUUAUCUUAUUUUUUAAAAUCUUUUCUCGUGUUGUUUCACGUUAAGGUAUGCCUAUGCUGUUGCUUCUGCUUAGCAUGCUGUUGCCAACAUUUUAUACAAAGACUUCAUGAUACAGGUUGUAUGAGACUCUUUUGCUUGAUAUUUUUCAGCAUGGUACAGGAUAGCAACUGAACCAGUUUAUAAUGCCCUCCUGGUGGCAAGCCAGUUAUUGAACCUCAUCGUCAACCUUCUGUUGCAUUCUGGGCUCCAUACCUCUUAUUUCUUGGACCAUUUUUUGUCAACAGUGCCUUUCCGUAUCUCCUCAGCGUUGAAUUGUGGAAAUUACAAAAAAAAAAAAAAACUGCUUUCUUGAGUGCUAUCUACUGUUAACUUUACUAAAAUUCUUGCAGAGUUUUUCAUCCUGCAAUUUAAUGGUGGCCUUUGUAAUUCAAUUUGCGAAUUCCAAAUUACUCCCGGCACCUUUACAUGCAGUUCUUCUUUUCUGUGACAUGUAUCAGCCUCCUUGGGAUACUGAAGUUGGCAACGAGUACAUAAUCCAUUAUACUUAUGGAUGUGACUAUGAUAUGAUGGGUAAGUUGACUUAUGCUAAGAUUGGAGAAUGGAGGUUCGACAAAAGAUCUUGCGAUAAUGUUGUACCACUGAAGAACCUGCCCCUGCCUCCACCCGGUGUCCCGGAAAGUGCGGUAUGUUUAAUCUCAUUUGUAAAACCGGAUUCCUCCUACAAUUGGUAUAUUACAGAAAUAUAUCAAGAUUGGUUUCUUGGAGUGAUCAGGCUCUCUUAAAAAAUUAAAAAGAUUCGCUUGAAAUCAAUGAGCUAAGGGUGGCGCGUAGAGGAGAAAUUUGAAUACAAGGUAAUGGAAGAUGGUGUAGAAGCAUAGCGGCAUCCAGUAUUUGAUGAAGUUAUUAGCAGUCAAUAUUCAUUUGGCAACUUGCGUGAAUGAAUUUUGUUAAAUGUUUCUGAUGCCAUAAUCUCCUCUGUUAGUUUAGUUGCAUACAUGACCUCUGUACUUGGUUGGCAUGUCCUUCGUUGAUCUUGGAGAGUCCAUAUCCUGGUGGCAAAUAAUAUGAAGUGAAAUUUAUUAUGUAAUCACUAACAUUGGCAGGGUGAAGGAUGAUUUUGGUGCUUUUGCUGACAAUUUUAAAUAUCAUUAUAUUAUAUGAUUGAUAGAA